CCAGCCUGCUACAGGAGUGACUGGAUAGACUCCUGUCCUUGCACAGUCUCUGUAAGUCACUGUCUGUGAGGUGAAAGCACUAAAACUCGAGCUGCUGCAGCCACUGUGGAAUAGCUUCCCUGAGAACUCAGCAAAAGGAGAAUUCCUGACACACCUGAUCCCUGAGGAUUUGGGAUAGAAAGAAGAAUAGAGGAUAAGAAAAAUCAGGCUCACUUCUCGUUGUCAUAGUAGAGCUUCCCAAUGGCCCAGGCCACAAUGAUGGGAAAGGGGAUACCUGCAGGGGAACACACAGGGGACAUCACCUGUGAAUGGGCCAUUGAAGGCCUCUCACAUGACUGAUAACAUCACCUCAUUCCAAUGUGAGAUGAUCCACCCAUUGGGAGGACCCAAAGCCUUUCCACCAGCAUAAAACCUGCAAUCCCAAACACUGAUGCAGCUGGUUUUCCUCUGAAUCCUUGGAGGAAGACCGGACCCAUCUCGCCAGCACUGGACCCUUUGUUCUACAGGAUCAUCUCUACUCCACAGAACAACAUCUGUUACUCCAGGAGGGCUUAUCUGGACUGCUUCCAACACCCUGACAGCAGGGUGUCAGGUCGUAUCUCUGACUCUGGCAGGGUUUUCUAGGACUUCUGUUUUGUUUGCUUGUUUGUUUUUUUGUACACUGCAUUUGUAUUUUUUUAAUAUCCCUAGUAAAGAACUGUUAUUCCUAUUCCCAUAUUUUUUGCCUGAAAGCUCCUAAUUGCAAAACUGUAAUAAUUUGGAGGGAGGGGG